UCUGGCAGGCAUACUCACACACAGACACAAAUCCCUCAAAUUAUCAGUGAUCAGGAUGCAGUGAGGAGGACAUCACACUGGAUGAGGAUGACAUUGCCAGUUGGUUUUAAACUCUUCACAAUAGCUGUUAUAAGUGAGUCCCACAGUUCUGCAUAAUUUUGGACUAAAAUUGCCUAGAGAAGCAUGCUGUGUCUCUGCAGACUAUGUUGAUGUAGUUGGCUCAAAUCUGUCACCCUGAACACCGCCUGUCAUAAGCCCUUGCCACAUCCCUGAUCAUCCAGUGAGUUUCAGAAUUUAAGAUCCAGGAUUGGAGAAUGGGCCAAUGCCACUCACAGCAAACACUACUGACAAGCUGUUAAUUUAGUUUCUGUCACUGUGAACCAAGAGCUUGGCCAGUUAAAGAGGACACCAUGGCAAUCUGGGAACAAGAGGGUAAAAUGCCAUAUGACACCCAAAAAGAUGUCAAUGUGACACGGUCUUUGACUUUUUCAGGGGGCGUUCCUUCUUCCAUGCUGUUUCUGCUCUGAUCACACAUGACCCCUGCCAAGCAAAGGAGACCCAGACCCUUGACCUGACUCACUCAGAUCUCUGUGACUCCCAUCACAGCACGGCUCCUCCCAUACUGACAUACAGCUGAGUCUGUUCACUCAGUUGCUGACUGUAGAGGGUGCUGAAAUAUCAC